rnacentral:rRNA from 1 species
GUGAGUAACGCGUGGGUAACCUGCCUCACACAGGGGGAUAACAGUUGGAAACGACCGCUAAUACCGCAUAAGCCAACAGGGGCGCAUGCUCUGGUUGGAAAAGAUUUAUCGGUGUGAGAUGGACCCGCGUCUGAUUAGCCAGUUGGCAGGGUAACGGCCUACCAAAGCGACGAUCAGUAGCCGGCCUGAGAGGGUGAACGGCCACAUUGGGACUGAGACACGGCCCAAACUCCUACGGGAGGCAGCAGUGGGGAAUAUUGCACAAUGGGGGAAACCCUGAUGCAGCGACGCCGCGUGAGUGAAGAAGUAUUUCGGUAUGUAAAGCUCUAUCAGCAGGGAAGAAAAUGACGGUACCUGACCAAGAAGCCCCGGCUAACUACGUGCCAGCAGCCGCGGUAAUACGUAGGGGGCAAGCGUUAUCCGGAUUUACUGGGUGUAAAGGGAGCGUAGACGGUGAUGCAAGUCAGAAGUGAAAGCCCGGGGCUCAACUCCGGGACUGCUUUUGAAACUGUGUAACUGGAGUGCAGGAGAGGUAAGCGGAAUUCCUAGUGUAGCGGUGAAAUGCGUAGAUAUUAGGAGGAACACCAGUGGCGAAUGCGGCUUACUGGACUGUAACUGACGUUGAGGCUCGAAAGC